UCUAGCUUGCUAGAAGAUGACGAGUGGCGCACGGGUGAGUAACGCGUAUACAAUCUACCUUUUACAGGGGGAUAGCCUUUAGAAAUGAAGAUUAAUAUCCCAUAGUAAGUAGUUUUGGCAUCAAGACAACUUUAAAGUUUCGGCGGUAAAAGAUGAGUAUGCGUUCUAUUAGCUAGAUGGUGUGGUAACGGCACACCAUGGCAACGAUAGAUAGGGGCCCUGAGAGGGGGAUCCCCCACACUGGUACUGAGACACGGACCAGACUCCUACGGGAGGCAGCAGUGAGGAAUAUUGGACAAUGGGCGCGAGCCUGAUCCAGCCAUGCCGCGUGCAGGAAGACUGCCCUAUGGGUUGUAAACUGCUUUUAUACAGGAAGAAACCUCAGAACGUGUUCUGAGCUGACGGUACUGUAAGAAUAAGGAUCGGCUAACUCCGUGCCAGCAGCCGCGGUAAUACGGAGGAUCCAAGCGUUAUCCGGAAUCAUUGGGUUUAAAGGGUCCGUAGGUGGAUAAUUAAGUCAGGGGUGAAAGUUUGCAGCUCAACUGUAAAAUUGCCUUUGAUACUGGUUAUCUUGAAUUAUUGUGAAGUGGUUAGAAUAUGUAGUGUAGCGGUGAAAUGCAUAGAUAUUACAUAGAAUACCAAUUGCGAAGGCAGAUCACUAACAAUAUAUUGACACUGAUGGACGAAAGCGUGGGGAGCGAACAGGAUUAGAUACCCUGGUAGUCCACGCCGUAAACGAUGGAUACUAGCUGUUCGGACUUCGGUCUGAGUGGCUAAGCGAAAGUGAUAAGUAUCCCACCUGGGGAGUACGUUCGCAAGAAUGAAACUCAAAGGAAUUUGACGGGGCCCGCACAAGCGGUGGAGCAUGUGG
rnacentral:rRNA from 1 species